CUGCACGCGUCGGGAGAGCGCGUGGUUGCCGCUUGGCUCGACCAAAGCGAACACCGCGCCGCCGAAGGCAGCAUACCCGCAAACUCUCAGGCAAAGGGACCGACGGCGUCGA
rfam:Candidatus Burkholderia schumannianae strain TZHbot8 BSCHctg93, whole genome shotgun sequence.